CGGUUUCCUGCCAAGUCCUCCUGUUUCUUCACUCUUGGUGGUUCUCCCACUCAGCCCAUCCUUUCCAUCUUGUUUGAGCCUGCUGUCCUGCCAGCUCACCCCUGGGCUCAUUUCGCAGUCUUCUGGACUGUAAUCUCUCUUUCCCCCCGGCGUUCUGCUGCCAGAUCUGCCUGAAAUGCUGCUUUUGCAUGAAAAUACCAGCCUGCCAUCUCAACAAGAAGAUGUCUUUCUGCAAACCAGGAAAAGAGCCCUCACCAGCCAUCAGAUCUGCUGGCACCUUGAACUUGGACUUCCCAGCCUCCAGGACUGU
rnacentral:lncRNA from 10 species